rnacentral:rRNA from 1 species
CGUAACAAGGUUUCUGUAGGUGAACCUGCAGAAGGAUCAUUAGUGAAGAUUUGGGCAGGCCAUACGGACGCCAAAAAGUGUCCCUGGCCGCCUACACCCACUAUACAUCCACAAACCCGUGUGCACUGUCUUGGAGAAAGGCUUCAGAGAAGUUUUUUGUGGCCUCUCUUGGGGUCUUUCUUCGCUACAAACUCGAAUGGUUAGUAUGAACGUGGAACUUGGUUGGACCGUCACUGGCCAACAAACUAUACACAACUUUCGACAACGGAUCUCUUGGUUCUCCCAUCGAUGAAGAACGCAGCGAAACGCGAUAGGUAAUGUGAAUUGCAGAAUUCCGUGAAUCAUCGAAUCUUUGAACGCACCUUGCGCUCUAUGGCAAUCCGUAGAGCAUGCCUGUUUGAGUGCCAUGAAAUCUCCCACCCCAAGCGGUUUUUAAAUGAAACGGCUUGGCGGAUGGGGUCUGGAUGGGUGCCUCUGCCUGCGCUACCUAGCACAGGCUCGCCCGAAAUGCAUGAGCGCCUUGAGACACUUUGCAUCCGCCUCUCUGUUUGGGAGGAGGCGGCCAAGCAGUGUUUUUCUCCUGGCAUGGCAUGAUACGUCAUUUGCUAUGUCGCCUAAAGGAGGAAUGUUUGGUUGUGUCUGCGUGUGCUUCGAACUUGCCUCUGUGGCACAUCCCAAUUUCACUUCUGGUCUCAAAUCAGGUAGGAUCACCCGCUGAACUUAAGCAUAUCAAUACG